UUGUACUGCUGAUGGAGAAAUCAUCUUCACAGCCACUUGAGUGUCAUCUAGAACUCCAUAGUAAACCAUCCCAAAUCCUCCUUUCCCAAGAAUCCUCUCAAAAUUGUUGGUCAUCAUCACAACUUGAGCAUAAGUGAAAUGCUGUCUCUUUUUCUCCAAGGAACUGCCUGGAUCCACUGUCAAAGCAACAUCCUUACCUUGUUGCUUCUUAUUUGAUUUAGCAAUCCAAUAGAUGAUUGCUGCAAUUAUGAGGAAUGCAAGCAAUCCACCCACUGCUGCUACUACUGAAAUGAUGAAAUUGUUGUUGCUUUUCUUUUGCUCUGGUGUCAUCUUUGUGCAUGGCUCUGAGUUACAUAAAUUUGGAUUACCUUCUCCACUGUCAUCAAAUAUGCUUUGUUAAUAUUAAAUUAAUUUUUUUUCAUGGACAUAAAUUCUAUAUGUAUAUAGAAGAUUGCAAGUUCAUGUUUUCCCUUAUAAUGGACCUUAAUGUAAGUGAACCGUUCAUCUUUUUUUUUUUUUAAUAAGGUCAGGUGGAAGAGAGCCUGAGAGAUUGUUCUUCUCUAAGUUUCUGCAAAGAGAAAAAAGAAUGGUUUUAUUUCUAUAUUAAAGUUAAUUUGAGCUUCACUUCUUUCUUUCUAGGGUAACUUACAGGUUUUUGAGGUGUUUCAAGUCAGAAAGAAAUCUAGACCGAUGAUGUACAGAGAUAUCUCAUCCUUCAGUCCGCUUGAAGACAAGUUCCUGGGACUGGAUCAGAGCUGCAAUUCAAACCACUCCAUGGAUAUCCACUUGGCACACAUGGGUCUCCUUCCCAAUUUUUGGUUACUCCAUAAGCUGACCGGAUGUUACUGAUUGCAUCCACUGACUUUCCAAUGUAUCGUCCAUAAAUCUAAAGUAGAAUAACUUUGAACCCCAAAAAAAAAAAAAAAAACGAAAAAAACCCUUAAAAUGGCAUACCAUCUCCAUUGUAUGAUUCUAGUUCUGAGAUCUCUAUCUAAA